AUUGAACGCUGGCGGCAGGCCUAACACAUGCAAGUCGAGCGGUAGCACAGAGAGCUUGCUCUCGGGUGACGAGCGGCGGACGGGUGAGUAAUGUCUGGGAAACUGCCUGAUGGAGGGGGAUAACUACUGGAAACGGUAGCUAAUACCGCAUAACGUCGCAAGACCAAAGUGGGGGACCUUCGGGCCUCAUGCCAUCAGAUGUGCCCAGAUGGGAUUAGCUAGUAGGUGGGGUAAUGGCUCACCUAGGCGACGAUCCCUAGCUGGUCUGAGAGGAUGACCAGCCACACUGGAACUGAGACACGGUCCAGACUCCUACGGGAGGCAGCAGUGGGGAAUAUUGCACAAUGGGCGCAAGCCUGAUGCAGCCAUGCCGCGUGUGUGAAGAAGGCCUUCGGGUUGUAAAGCACUUUCAGCGGGGAGGAAGGCGUUAAGGUUAAUAACCUUGGCGAUUGACGUUACCCGCAGAAGAAGCACCGGCUAACUCCGUGCCAGCAGCCGCGGUAAUACGGAGGGUGCAAGCGUUAAUCGGAAUUACUGGGCGUAAAGCGCACGCAGGCGGUCUGUCAAGUCGGAUGUGAAAUCCCCGGGCUCAACCUGGGAACUGCAUCCGAAACUGGCAGGCUAGAGUCUUGUAGAGGGGGGUAGAAUUCCAGGUGUAGCGGUGAAAUGCGUAGAGAUCUGGAGGAAUACCGGUGGCGAAGGCGGCCCCCUGGACAAAGACUGACGCUCAGGUGCGAAAGCGUGGGGAGCAAUCAGGAUUAGAUACCCUGGUAGUCCACGCCGUAAACGAUGUCGACUUGGAGGUUGUGCCCUUGAGGCGUGGCUUCCGGAGCUAACGCGUUAAGUCGACCGCCUGGGGAGUACGGCCGCAAGGUUAAAACUCAAAUGAAUUGACGGGGGCCCGCACAAGCGGUGGAGCAUGUGGUUUAAUUCGAUGCAACGCGAAGAACCUUACCUACUCUUGACAUCCAGAGAACUUAGCAGAGAUGCUUUGGUGCCUUCGGGAACUCUGAGACAGGUGCUGCAUGGCUGUCGUCAGCUCGUGUUGUGAAAUGUUGGGUUAAGUCCCGCAACGAGCGCAACCCUUAUCCUUUGUUGCCAGCGGUCCGGCCGGGAACUCAAAGGAGACUGCCAGUGAUAAACUGGAGGAAGGUGGGGAUGACGUCAAGUCAUCAUGGCCCUUACGAGUAGGGCUACACACGUGCUACAAUGGCAUAUACAAAGAGAAGCGACCUCGCGAGAGCAAGCGGACCUCAUAAAGUAUGUCGUAGUCCGGAUUGGAGUCUGCAACUCGACUCCAUGAAGUCGGAAUCGCUAGUAAUCGUGGAUCAGAAUGCCACGGUGAAUACGUUCCCGGGCCUUGUACACACCGCCCGUCACACCAUGGGAGUGGGUUGCAAAAGAAGUAGGUAGCUUAACCUUCGGGAGGGCGCUUACCACUUUGUGAUUCAUGACUGGGGUGA
rnacentral:rRNA from 1 species